AGCAGCAUUUAGGUAUGGAGUAUGAAAGCAGAAGCCCAGGGAUGUGAUGCAAGCAGUGAAUCUACGGAUAUGUUUUAAAAAGGAAGAUCACAAGUUCUCCUUCUCAUCCUCCAUGUUUGAAAACAAAAUGAUCUUCUGAAUGCAGAGAGGCCCUCUGUAACUUGGAGUACCAGUCCAGAAAUUAAUAUUAUUUGUGUAGAAAUUGCAGAGUGUCCUGCAAAGGCAAACAAUGCUGCAAAUGAGAGCAAAUAAUUUCAUCCUGGUUUGAGAAGUCCUAAAUUUGUGAAAUAUGUGCAUUUUUUACCUGCCCGUUUGGGAGCAAGGACAGUAGAGAGUGUUUGUGGCACUCAAGGUGGUUCCCGUGGCUGCUCCUUUGUAAAUGCACCCCUGGUUAUGCAUUUGGAAACCUGUUUGCAGGUGGUCAGACGUGGGGCAGCUGACAGUUGAUUUUUCCCAUGACGAUGAUGUGUGUGCUCUUACCCCUUGCCAGCACCAACGUCCUGCCAGCCGAGCCAGGCUUGGAACCUGUCCCUUCCCGAGUGGCGUGGGACACACUGGGCUGUCAGUGUGGCCGGGAGCUGCCGUGGCAUUGGGCCCAGGACCUGGGACUCUGGAUCCAAGGGUGCAAGCAGGAAAGAGAAGAUGGAGAUCACACUGCUGGGGAAGGCUCCUUGUGCAGGUGUCCAGUGCUUGGAAGGUGAAUUUGGGCUGUGUCAUAAAGGCAGCUGCUCCCCGCUGGAUCCCUUCCUGCUUUGUGGCCAAUAAUGUUGAAGGACAGAGGAUGGCUGAAGAAGAGAAGAUGUCUUUCAUGCUUUUGUGACUUGAUUUUGAGUUGUAACCCAUACAUCUAUCUUGGUUUAUGCCCAAAAUUUAGCAUCUAGAGAUGUUACUGGGCAACAAAGUAUUGCUGUUCACUAAAUGCUCUUCAUGUAUUUGUUGCAAGAGGAAGUUGGAUCUCUGCUAAUCCAUUUGAACAAUUCUUUUGACAUUAACCACACUGCGCUUCUUGAUGAAAGGAAGAAUUUCAGGGAACCAGCUGGAAAUCCUCUUUUCUCCUUUGGUCAAUGCCAAAUUCUCAGCUGCACAUCAUGUUCCCGCGUAUGAACUGAAAGAUAAGAAAGAACUUUGAGAAACUGAAUCUCUCUAUUGUGGUACCUGGAGGCCAAUUAUUGCUUCAGGUGGCUAUGUAAUCUAUCAUUUACAGAUUGUUUAUUCCUGUCUUUGGCUGACACUGCUGCUUUUGUGGUGAUUGUCCAAGUUGGAUCAGGCACGAAGCGUCUUGAUUCCUUGAAUCACUCCACAAUUUGUACUAAUGCUUUUCCUGUGGGCCAGUUGCCCAUAGACAGAUAAUGGAUACAUUUGUAAAGUUUUGUUAGUAUGGUGACAAAACCCUUUAAUUGUGGGAAAUAGUACUCAAAGAACAACUUCUUGAAAGAUUUUAAGAAACUCUUCUAUGAAAUGUUUUAAAUUUAUGCAUAGAUCAAAGACUGAAAAUAACAUGAAUAGUUUAAGUAGGCUGAUAAGGAAUACCAGGUAAUAAUGGUACAGUAAAUAAAAUAAUCAAAAAUUAAUCCCUGAAACUGUUUUCAAAAUACCCCACAAAACAUUAAAUCUCUAAACAAAAGAAAAGAACACACUCUUUAUACUUUUCUAUGAAAUUGAAAUCUAGAGAUUUUGAUGGUUAAACAGUGAGAAUCCUUUUAUACUGGGUAACAAAGGUUUGUACUGAAAAUACAAAGAGAAAUAGUUUUUAGGUCAGAGCACAUGCAAUAACCAAACAGGUUUUGAGUCUGUUCCUCAUCUUGGAUCCCAGAACUAAUAGUAUUUCAGCUAUAUCACUCUGCAUCCUGUUUAACAGGACUAUUUUUAAAGCAGUAGAUGGAUUUCAGUAUGAAAACUGAACAAAGCUAAUUGAUGGUUUAUUUUUCUUAAGCUCUGACACAUAUUUUUUAAAGUACAUUUUGUCCAUUUAAUCAGCCAACUGUUACCAUUACAUAUCUUCAGAGAACUUUUGUUUUCAUUCCACUUUUCCAAAAUGCUGUCUAUUUUCUCAUAUUUUUAACAAAAUUGUGUAGGUUAAUGUUAAACUCUUCUGGAAGAAUGGGGAGGUUCUGGUGCUUCAAAGCUUAUCUAUGUGAAGUCAGUGGGUAUUUUAUACAAGAGCAUUCACUGACAACAGGAAUGCUGGUAUUGCAUUUUGCCAGCAGGCAUGUCCUCAGCAGUUUAAAACUGCAAAACAAACCUCAAGCCCACAGUUUUAAGAGAGUCUAAAGUUGUUUAACAAGAAAUUAAAAGGAUGCCAGUGCUUUCUGUUGCUUGAGAAUUUGGAGAAAGCAGAGAGUACUGGCAGCUAGACUGAGCAACACUGGUAAAACCAAACUGCAAAUUUUCAAUACAUGUUGAAUGUUUAUAAGACUUUCUCAAAAGACAGAUGUAUUAUUAGGCCAGCAAAGAACAAAAAAAUCUCUCAGAAGUAAAUAUAUACUUUUUUUCUUUUGUGCAAAGAAAAUGAAGACUGGUUUAUGCAAAUUCAGAAAAUAUUGUGCACAUGUUCAUUUACUACGAUUUUUAUUUUUAAAUAAUAACUUCACAAAUACAUAAUAUGGAAUAUUUUGCCUAAAAGAGCAAGUUGUGGGUCCUAGACCAGUCUAUCAGUUCAAGCUGCAUAUCUUAACUCAUGGGAGAUUUUAUUGUUUUUUCUGUGCUUAAAUCAAAGGGACUCUGUUUAGUGCAAAAAAUAAUGAGGUUUCUUUUGAAAAUUUGUGAACUCUGAAUUAAUAUGAAACCAAUAGAGUUUAGAAAAUAGUUUCUCACUUUCUUGUAUCUCUAAAGGGAGAACAAUUUCCCCUUGCCACCUGGUUUAAUUUGAAUCCAUGCUUUCAACAAACAGAUGACAGAAAAGAUAAACUACAGGAAGAAUUAACAGGUAACUAGAAGAAGAAAAAAAGAGCUGAAGCAAGAAAGGGCAAGAUAAAUUUGUUAAAUAGGAUUUGUGAUUCCUGUUGUAUAAGGUAAAAAUCUUUUUCAACACCUGAUUCAAAACCACGGGUGAAUUUAACAAAGUGCAUGUAUUUUGAGUGAAUUAACUUAUUUUUCUCUGUGUAUUUUCACAGAGAGAAUUUUUCAAUGAUCUAUGCUAAUCUACUGUAAUACUUACUCAGGUUGCCUGCAAAUAUCUGACAUUAAAAAAAUCUUAUAUAUCACCCAGACUUGUAAUGCAGUACUCUAUCUAUCCUAUUACAAAGUUCAUAAAAGAUUUCUCUAUAAAUAGAGAUUAUGAAAAUAAUUUCAGUGUCAACUCAAUAUAGUGUAGGUGGGACAUGCUGCAGUGUAAUCAGAGAUUUACUCAAGCCUGUAUGGGGGAAAUGACUGAGGCUCUGUGUGCAAAGGGGAAUAAAUUAGGAAGACAAAAAUAUUUGAGCAGUAAAAGCAAAACAAAGCAAACCCACGUAACUUAUUGCCAUAGCAGUGUAUUUGAAAUGACUGAUGAAUGAUGAAGGUGUUAUGGCUACUUGUCAGGACUUGUCAAGAUGACAAUGCCCUAGAAGAAUGCGUGGAAGCAAAUCCCUUACUGAGCUCUAGGUCUCAAAUCCUGAGGACAGAAACACUUCAGCUGUGGUAUUGUUGGUUAUGUUACCUGAAAUUUGAAAUCAUGAAUGCCUAAAAGUGCAAAUAUCUAUUUAGAAACAUAUUUGAAAUUAUUUUACAACACCUUGAAAAGUACAAUGAGAGCAAAUGCCAAAGCCAAUUUCACAAGUGAGGGAUCCAGGGGCAAGAGAGUGCUCUCAGGUAUAGGGAGGAGAAGGCACAAAAGGAAAUUCCAUACAUAGGAUAGGGUCACUGACCAGUCCCUGAAUGUAAAAACUGGGGUUUGAGCUAAAAUAUACCAGUUUAAGCAGGCUCUGGGGCUACUUUUUAUCUGAGAGCAUGAACUUUGGGCGGGAGAGGGAAGAGAUUGCAGGAAAUCACAGGCUUCUUUAGGGUGAAGCUUCCCUUAAAUGUGAGCUAAGACGUGAGCUGUGAAGCAGUGACAGAAGAGUGAUAGUUUCACAGUGAUCAUUUCCUGUAAUAAGGAGCAAUUCCAGGCAAUUAUUGCAUGUAUUUAAUUGUUAUAAUGAAAAUAUAAAUUAAGGGCUAUUCAGAAACCAGUUAUUGCAUGGGCAGAAGAUGACAUAUAAAAAACACAAGCACAUUUAAAUAUAGAAAAGUUUUGCAUAGAUAGAAUGUAGAGACUCUUGGACAGUGGAGAGUGAGAGUUAGUAGAAGACAAGGACAGGA